UUUGUAGAAUGAACCGGCGAGUUACGAUUUGAUGCAAGGUUAAGCAGUAAAUGUGGAGCCGUAGCGAAAGCGAGUCUGAAUAGGGCGUUUAGUAUUUGGUCGUAGACCCGAAACCAGGUGAUCUACCCUUGGUCAGGUUGAAGUUCAGGUAACACUGAAUGGAGGACCGAACCGACUUACGUUGAAAAGUGAGCGGAUGAACUGAGGGUAGCGGAGAAAUUCCAAUCGAACCUGGAGAUAGCUGGUUCUCUCCGAAAUAGCUUUAGGGCUAGCCUCAAGUGAUGAUUAUUGGAGGUAGAGCACUGUUUGGACGAGGGGCCCCUCUCGGGUUACCGAAUUCAGACAAACUCCGAAUGCCAAUUAAUUUAACUUGGGAGUCAGAACAUGGGUGAUAAGGUCCGUGUUCGAAAGGGAAACAGCCCAGACCACCAGCUAAGGUCCCAAAAUAUAUGUUAAGUGGAAAAGGAUGUGGCGUUGCCCAGACAACUAGGAUGUUGGCUUAGAAGCAGCCAUCAUUUAAAGAGUGCGUAAUAGCUCACUAGUCGAGUGACACUGCGCCGAAAAUGUACCGGGGCUAAACAUAUUACCGAAGCUGUGGAUUGUCCUUUGGACAAUGGUAGGAGAGCGUUCUAAGGGCGUUGAAGCAUGAUCGUAAGGACAUGUGGAGCGCUUAGAAGUGAGAAUGCCGGUGUGAGUAGCGAAAGACGGGUGAGAAUCCCGUCCACCGAUUGACUAAGGUUUCCAGAGGAAGGCUCGUCCGCUCUGGGUUAGUCGGGUCCUAAGCUGAGGCCGACAGGCGUAGGCGAUGGAUAACAGGUUGAUAUUCCUGUACCACCUAUAAUCGUUUUAAUCGAUGGGGGGACGCAGUAGGAUAGGCGAAGCGUGCGAUUGGAUUGCACGUCUAAGCAGUAAGGCUGAGUAUUAGGCAAAUCCGGUACUCGUUAAGGCUGAGCUGUGAUGGGGAGAAGACAUUG
rnacentral:rRNA from 1 species